rnacentral:rRNA from 1 species
UACGAAGGGUGCAAACGUUGCUCGGAAUCAUUGGGCGUAAAGCGCACGUAGGCGGCCUCGCAAGUCUGAUGUGAAAUCCCUCGGCUCAACCGAGGACGUGCAUCGGAAACUGCGGGGCUUGAGUACUGAAGAGGAUCGCGGAAUUCCCGGUGUAGAGGUGAAAUUCGUAGAUAUCGGGAGGAACACCAGUGGCGAAGGCGGCGAUCUGGGCAGAUACUGACGCUGAGGUGCGAAAGCGUGGGGAGCGAACAGG